AUAAUUUUAACUAUAUACUAUAUACCAUCGAGAAAAUUGAUUCCUAGGCAGUUGGCAGACCAACGUCAUUUGGUCGGAUCAUGUCAAUGCAAUGUUAAUUGUGAUCUGUCGGCUGCGUUUGACGUAACACGACCAAACUAGGUAGGUCCCUCAUCUGUCGAGGUAUCAACUUUUCUGAUAGUACAAG